CCCUACGGGGUGCACCAGGCAGGCGGUGAGGCGGUUGGCUUUUUCAGGGUAGGCGCUGUGCAUGGCGGCUGCCACCUUGAAACCGGUGGCCUGAUCGUUGAUGUAAUCACAGGAAUCAUUAUGAAUGGAGAUAAGUGCAAUGGCCUUGUAUUGCGAGAGCCGGUCGUCGAACUCUGCCAGCAGGUCAACGGUGUAGCCUUCGGCCUCCAACUUUUGUUUGACAAGCGUGGCGAUGGAAAGGUUCACCUGCUGCUCGGUAAGCCCAUCUGAACAGAAGGAGCCAGAGUCGUUCUGGUAAUGCCCGGAGACGAUGCCAAUGCGUUUGAUGGCUGAAUCAGCGUUGACCGGGGUGGUUACCUGGGCCACAUUGGUGGGGUUAGC
rnacentral:rRNA from 1 species